UGGGGAAUUUUGGACAAUGGGCGAAAGCCUGAUCCAGCAAUGCCGCGUGCAGGAAGAAGGCCUUCGGGUUGUAAACUGCUUUUGUACGGAACGAAACGGUCUGCCCUAAUACGGCGGGCUCAUGACGGUACCGUAAGAAUAAGCACCGGCUAACUACGUGCCAGCAGCCGCGGUAAUACGUAGGGUGCGAGCGUUAAUCGGAAUUACUGGGCGUAAAGCGUGCACAGGCGGUUAUGUAAGACUGUUGUGAAAUCCCCGGGCUCAACCUGGGAAUUGCAUCUGUGACUGCAUAGCUAGAGUACGGUAGAGGGGGAUGGAAUUCCGCGUGUAGCAGUGAAAUGCGUAGAUAUGCGGAGGAACACCGAUGGCGAAGGCAAUCCCCUGGACCUGUACUGACGCUCAUGCACGAAAGCGUGGGGAGCAAACA
rnacentral:rRNA from 1 species